AUAAUGAAUUAUUGUAAAAAAAUUGGACCAAAAUUAACUUUAAGUGAUGAUAUAAUAAAAGAAAUUAGAGGAAAAUCUGGAUCCUGAAAAUUUGAACUGAUCAAACAAGUUUUUUGAUCGUUCAAAGUUUGGAGUGCACGAUCGAAAAUUGAGAAGAGAUCGAGAUACGAUUCGAAUCGGCUUAUCAAAAAUUGGGGCAAACAGAGUUUGUCACUCGAAACGAAUCUGAUCAUCGACGAACUGGAGCAUAAAUAAUGGAACGGGGUCCUCCACCGAGAGGUCCUCGGAAAGGUCACGCACUGUUCACCGUGAUUUAUCGGCGAAACUUUCUUGCAGGUUGACUGGGUCCCGCAGAUUCACUGCUCGGUCGACCGAAAAACUGUUUCAACGAAAAUUGGGGCUGUUGAUUUUCAAAGGGAUUAGAAGAGGUUCGAAACGCAUCGAAUAUAUAUAAUCUAAACGAUCUCUCUCGAGCGAAGAUCAAAAUCAGUUCAUCGAUCUUGCGAGCAAUUUUAUCCUCGGACUCACCUGGUGUGUCCUCCAUUGGGACCCGAAGUGUUCUUGAUGGUGACGUAGACCUCGGUCUUUGUCAUGAGUUGACCGUCGGAGACGGUUACA